rnacentral:tRNA from 1 species
GACGCACUAGCUCAAUGGCAGAGCAGUCAACUGAUAAUUGGCAGGUUGCCGGUUCGACUCCGGCGUGGUCU